AUUGAACGCUGGCGGCAGGCCUAACACAUGCAAGUCGAACGAGUGGCGGACGGGUGAGUAAUGUCUGGGAAACUGCCUGAUGGAGGGGGAUAACUACUGGAAACGGUAGCUAAUACCGCAUACCAUCGGAUGUGCCCAGAUGGGAUUAGCUAGUAGGUGGGGUAACGGCUCACCAAGGCGACGAUCCCUAGCUGGUCUGAGAGGCAGACUAGCCACACUGGAACGGAGACAAGGUCCAGACUCCUACGGUAGGCAGCAGUGGGGAAUACUGCACAAGGGGCGCAAGCCUGAUGCAGCCAUGCCGAGUGUAUGAAGAAGGCCGUCGGGUUGUAAAGUACGUUCAGCGGGGAGGCGUUACUCGCAGAAGAAGCACCGGCUAACUCCGUGCCAGCAGCCGCGGUAAUAC
rnacentral:rRNA from 1 species